rnacentral:rRNA from 1 species
UACGGAGGGUGCAAGCGUUAUCUGGAUUCACUGGGUUUAAAGGGUGCGUAGGUGGGUUGGUAAGUCAGUGGUGAAAUCCCCGAGCUUAACUUGGGAACUGCCAUUGAUACUAUCAGUCUUGAAUACCGUGGAGGUUAGCGGAAUAUGUCAUGUAGCGGUGAAAUGCUUAGAUAUGACAUAGAACACCAAUUGCGAAGGCAGCUGGCUACACGAAUAUUGACACUGAGGCACGAAAGCGUGGGGAUCAAACAGG